AUGAACGCUGGCGGCGUGCUUAACACAUGCAAGUCGAACGAUUAAAGCUCACUUCGGUGAGUGUAUAGAGUGGCGAACGGGUGAGUAACACGUGGGAAACCUGCCCCUUUCUUCGGGAUAACUUCGGGAAACCGUUGCUAAUACCGGAUACUCCGGGAUGGUCGCAUGGCCGACCCGGGAAAGCUUUAUGUGGAAAGGGAUGGUCCCGCGGCCCAUUAGCUUAUUGGUGGGGUAAUGGCCUACCAAGGCAACGAUGGGUAGCCG
rnacentral:rRNA from 1 species